GCCCUGCACAGCCUUUGGGCUCUCAGCGCAGGGUAGAGGCCACGAGGACAAGGGAGGACGAGGCUGAGGCGGGGAGCCACAAGUCGUACCCCGUGCGCGCGCCCCACCCUCCGGCCGGAACCGUCCGAACUUACGGGGUUUUUGAGAAACCCCUGUCGUUUUCUGUGGUGGCUGCGCCGAUUUACAUUCCCACCAACAGUGUACAGAGGUUCCCUUUCCUCCUCAUCCUUGAGACGUUUGUUACCUGUGUUCUUUUUGAUGAUGGCCAUGCUGACAGGUGUGAGACGGUGUCUCACUGUGAUUUUGAUGUGCAUUUCCCUGAUACCAGUGAUGUUGCGCAGCUUUUCCUGCUCCUGUUGGUCAUCUGCAUUUCCUGUUUUAGAAAAAUGUCUAUCCAGUUCUGCCCUUUUUUAAAUGGGUUGUUUGUUCUUUUGCUUUUUAACUGAAAGAUAGUUGAUUUUAAAUGUAUUAGUUUCUGGUGUACGGCAUGGGUGGACUUGAAGGGCACGAUCCUAAGAGAAGUAAGUCAAAGACAAACACUGUAAGAGAUCACUUACACGUGGAAUCUAAAAAAACACAACAAACUAGUGAAUAUAACAGAAAAGGAAAACUCACAGAUGUGGAGAAGGAGCGACUGGUUACCAGUGGGGAGGGGGAGGGGCAAGAUGGAGGUGGAGGAUUAAGCGGUACAAACUGUCAGGUUUAAGUAAGCUACAAGGAUGUAUCGUACAACAUGAGGAAUAUAGCCAAUAUUUUAUAAUAACUAUAAGUGGAACAUAACUUUUAAAAAUUGUGAACACUAUAUUGUAUACUUGUCACAUACAAUAUUAUACAUCGACUAUACUUCAAUUUAAAAAAUAUAUUAUAAAAUAAAUAUUUAAAAAAAAACCUGAACCACAGAAGAGCCAAUGAAUGGUUACAUCCGUAAGUGGGAAGCGGGGGACAUGGCUAAAGGAAAAGUGCACCAUGCUGUACCUGGUACAUAUCUGUGUAUUUUGAUACUGAUUCACUGUGAAACCUGCGGGCUUCUUAAAACAUUCUCUAUGAAACAUCUGUAAAUACAGUCUCUUAACGGUUA